AAUAGUUUAAUGGGUAUUGAUUUAAGGAGUAAUCCGCUUUGAGAUGGACCCGCGGCGCAUUAGCUAGUUGGUAGGGUAACGGCCUACCAAGGCGACGAUGCGUAGCCGACCUGAGAGGGUGAUCGGCCACAUUGGAACUGAGAAACGGUCCAGACUCCUACGGGAGGCAGCAGUGGGGAAUAUUGCACAAUGGGCGAAAGCCUGAUGCAGCAACGCCGCGUGAGUGAAGAAGGUUUUCGGAUUGUAAAGCUCUGUCUUUGGGGACGAUAAUGACGGUACCCAAGGAGGAAGCCACGGCUAACUACGUGCCAGCAGCCGCGGUAAUACGUAGGUGGCAAGCGUUGUCCGGAAUUACUGGGCGUAAAGAGUGCGUAGGCGGAUAUUUAAGUGAGAUGUGAAAUACCCGGGCUUAACCCGGGCACUGCAUUUCAAACUGGAUAUCUAGAGUGCGGGAGAGGAGAAUGGAAUUCCUAGUGUAGCGGUGAAAUGCGUAGAGAUAAGGAAGAAAUUA
rnacentral:rRNA from 1 species